AUGUGGUUUAAUUCGAUGAUACGCGAGGAACCUUACCUGGGCUCGAACGUAAGAUGACUGUAGGUGAAAGCUUACAUCUCUUCGGAGCAUUUUACGAGGUGCUGCAUGGUUGUCGUCAGCUCGUGCCGUGAGGUGUCGGGUUAAGUCCCAUAACGAGCGCAACCCCUACCUUUAGUUGCCAUCAGGUUAAGCUGGGGACUCUAAAGGAACUGCCUACGCAAGUAGUGAGGAAGGCGGGGAUGACGUCAAAUCAGCACGGCCCUUACGUCCAGGGCUACACACGUGCUACAAUGGCCGAUACAGAGGGCAGCUACCUGGUGACAGGAUGCAAAUCCCCAAAGUCGGUCUCAGUUCGGAUCGGAGUCUGCAACCCGACUCCGUGAAGUUGGAUUCGCUAGUAAUCGCGCAUCAGCCAUGGCGCGGUGAAUACGUUCCCGGGCCUU
rnacentral:rRNA from 1 species